CUUAAGUAGCUUAAAAGAAAGCCUCAGCCUCUUGAUCUGAAAAUGGGUAAACAUCCCUUAAGGA
rnacentral:tRNA from 1 species